UCACAAAAUAUGAAUAAUAUGAAAACAAAGAGGCCAUUACUACAGAUCCUAUAGAGUUUUAAAAUAUAAUAUUAAAUUAUAGGCAACUUUAUGUUAAUAAACCUUAAAUUUUAUUGGAAAUGGGUAAAUUUCUAAAAAAGUUGUGUUAUAGAAAUUGAAACAAGAAGAAACAGCAAAUCUGAACUGUCCUUUAUUUAUUAAAAAAAUUAAAACAUAAUUAAAAACUUGUAGCUAAAAAGUAACUCAGCCCCAGAAGUCCUCACUAAUUAAUUAUCCAAAUAAUUAAGGAAAGUUAACAAAAAUCUUAAUCUCCACCAGAGAGCAAAAAAAAAAAAAAGAGAAAACCAUCCUAACUUGUUUUAAGAGGUUAGCAUAAUCUUAUGAUCAAAUCCUAACAAGCACAUUAAAAUAAAGAAAAUUUACAAGCCAAAUUCUUUCAUGAACAUACAUUUAAAAAUAGAAGGCAAAAUAUUAAAAAACAAAAUACUGUAAAAAGAAAAAAAACUCUUAAUAACCCUGUAUCUGUUAAAGAAAUUAGUAUCUUUAAUUAAAAACGUUUGACAUAGGAAGACUCGAGUUUCAGAUGGAUUUACUAGUGAAGUCUAUCAAUAUUUAUGGGUUAAGUAAACCCACUCUCACAAAAGUUCUUUUCAGAAUGAAUAUUUCCUAACUUGUUUUAUAAGGACAGAACCAUCCUGAUAACAAAGCCUGAUGAAUUACCCAGAAAGAGUACCAAAAAUAAAAGAAGAAAUAUUGAGGGAACACUAUGUUAACGUAUAUGACUGUAAGUAAGCUGUACACCUGAAACCAAUACAAAAUAAAAUUGAAAGAUAAAAAAUAAGGGAGUGACUUUAAGAUAACAAGAAAGAAUAUUUAGAAAUUUCAAUAUGUAAUCCUCAGGAAUUCAAGAUAGAGAGAAUAAAAUAUAGGAGGAGAAAGUAUUAUAAUGCUAAAAGCUGAAAAUUUCCCUCAAAUUUUAUCAAAGAUGUUAAUAAAUAUAUGAAUCUUUAAAUUACAUAGGCAUGAAUUUUGAUUAAUAAAAGCAACUUCAUGGCUUGGCUAAAAAAUUGAAAAACACCAAAAUAAUCUAAACUAAUCUAUUAAAAAUGUGGCUGAAAUAAAGGUGGUGCUACUCACAGACCUUGCUAAUAGAAUUCCUCAUAUAUUUUAAGGAAAUAGAACACAAAAUAAUGAAGUGGGCAGAAGAAGCAAAUUUGUGGAAACAAAUUCAUUCAUGUGUGAGGAAGUCUAAAUAAGUACUGCUAUAAAAAUUCACAAUCAUAAUACUGUUUAAUUUGUUGACUGUCAGAUAAGGUAGAAUUAGAAUAGUGGACCAAAAAAACCUAAGAGUUGGGCAAUGGUAUGUAAUUUGUUUUAGAAACUUCAUUGUUGCAGGUCGGGUUAUUGAUUAUAUUUCACUAAUUAAGUAUGCAUGUUAAAGUUUAAGGGGAAUCACUUGCAGAGAGAAGGAAGACAAAAUGAAGGAAAGAAGGAAAAAGGGAAGACAGUGGGCAUCUUUCCAACCAUUAGAGAUGGGGUAAAGAAAAUAAAGAAAAAAUUAAUGCAAAAGAGGACAAGAAGGAAGGAACAAAGAAAAGAAAA